GAUGAAGAACGUAGCGAAAUGCGAUACGUAAUGUGAAUUGCAGAAUUCAGUGAAUCAUCGAGUCUUUGAACGCACAUUGCGCCCCCUGGUAUUCCGGGGGCCAUGCCUGUCCGAGCGUCAUUGCUGCCCUCAAGCACGGCUUGUGUGUUGGGCCUCCGUCCUCCUCCCGGGGGCCGGGCCCGAAAGGCAGCGGCGGCACCGCGUCCGGUCCUCGAGCGUAUGGGGCUUCGUCACCCGCUCUUGUAGGCCCGGCCGGCGCUUGCCGACACAUCAAUCUUUUUUCCAGGUUGACCUCGGAUCAGGUAGGGAUACCCGCUGAACUUAAGCAUAUCAAUAAGCGGAGGA
rnacentral:misc_RNA from 1 species